rnacentral:rRNA from 1 species
UACGAAGGGGGCUAGCGUUGCUCGGAAUUACUGGGCGUAAAGCGCACGUAGGCGGAUCUUUAAGUCAGGGGUGAAAUCCUGGAGCUCAACUCCAGAACUGCCUUUGAUACUGGGAGCCUUGAGUUCGGGAGAGGUGAGUGGAACUGCGAGUGUAGAGGUGAAAUUCGUAGAUAUUCGCAAGAACACCAGUGGCGAAGGCGGCUCACUGGCCCGAUACUGACGCUGAGGUGCGAAAGCGUGGGGAGCAAACAGG